rnacentral:misc_RNA from 1 species
UUUCCGUAGGUGAACCUGCGGAGGGAUCAUUAUUGUAUAACCAACGUGCAAGGCCUUUCGCUGACCGGACCUAUCGUUCACGCCCGAGGAACCUCACACCCAUCCAUCUCACCCCUCUGGGCACCACCGCGGGGGUCCACCUUUGGCGUUUUCGGCAGGGGGCUUAGGGUUUCACACAAACUUUGUAAGCAAUAUUGAAUAUAUUUGUUGUUUUUGCGAUGGCGCAAUCAAAAAAACUUUCAACAAGGGAUAUCUUAGCUCUCGAAUCGAUGAAGAACA